UGUUUGCUCGUUUCCCGUGGAUGUGCGGUUCUUCCGUGGUUUCUCUCCAUCUAAGGAGCUUUGGGGGAACAUUUUUAGUUCCCCUACCACCAAGCCUUAUGGCUUAUUUAAGAAAACAUAUCAAAAUUCCACGAGAUUUUUGACGUUUUGAUAUGUUCUGGUAAGAUUUUUUUUUGACAUGUCCUCCAUACUUUUUGAUAUUUAUAAUAUUUUCAGUCAAUUUUUUAUUUUUAAGGAAUAUUUCUUUGUUGUGCCUUUUGGUUGAUACUUGUGUGUGUGUAUGGUGGACUUACCUUUCUUUCAUUGUUUAUAUAUUCUUGCCCAUCGGGGCCACGGAUACCUGUGUGUCCUCCCCGCCAUUCCAUGCCCAACGGGGUUUUGGAUACUUACCUGCCUUUUAAUUCUUUUUUUUUCUUCUUAUUUUUUUUCUAAACUUGCCCAUCUGGGCUGUGGAUACCUGCUUUUAUUCUUUUUUUCUUCUCCUUAGCCCAUCGGGGCCAUGGAUACCUGCUUUUUGUCAAAAAAAAAAAAAAACUUUCUCGGUCCAUCGGGACCUCGGAUACCUGCGUUUAGUCUUUUUUUCCCAUGCCCAACGGGGCCUCGGAUACCUGCUGUUAUUAUUUUUUUUUCUUUUUCUUUUGCCCAUCGGGGCUGUGGAUACCUGCUUUAAAUUUUUUUUUUCACGGCCCAACGGGGCGCUUGGUGGAUGGAAAUAUGGUUUUGUGAGUUAUUGCACUACCUGGAAUAUCUAUGCCUCUUAUUUGCGUGUACUGUUGCUGCUGAUCGUUUGGUGCUGUGUGAGUGAACCUAUGGCUUAGAAAAACGACUUUGCGCUUAAACUGAGUGGGUGUUCAGGGCGUGGAGAGCCCGCGUCCGCCAUUAUGGCUUCUGCGUGAUACGGCUAUUCUCGAGCCAGUUACGCCAAGAAUUAGGACACCGAGGAGCACGGCGGACUGGAUAAAAGCAACCAAUUGCGCUGCGCUAGCUAAAGGCUUUCUUUAUAUGUGCGGGGUUGCGGAAUUCGCCUUGAUUUGUGGUAGCAUUUGCGGGGUUGUGCUAGCCGGAAGUAGAAAGCCAAGGAGUGCUCGUAUUAGUGUGCGGUGUUGCGCGGAAGCCGCAGAGGACUAGGGGAUAGGGCUCAGCGUGGGUGUGGGGAUUGGGCAGGGUGUGUGUGCAUAUGGACCCCUGGCGCGGUCCCCCGUGGCUUUAAGGGCUGCUCAGAAGUCUAUAAAAUGGCGGCUCGGGGGCUCCACCCGAGGCUCGACAGCCCAAUCUUUGUUCUGGUGUGUAGCAAUGGAUUAUAGGACAUUUAGGUCGUACAGGAAAAGAUGGCGGCUCAAGUUCUUGGUGCGGUAUAACGCAAAGGGCUUUGUGUGUCACAUGUCAGCUUCAUGUCUGAGUUAGCCUGGAGAGGUGGCACAUGCUCUUGAAUGUGUCUAAGAUGGCGGAAGUCAUGUGACCUGCCCUCUAGUGGUUUCUUUCAGUGAUUUUUUUUUUGGCGGGCUUUAGCUACUUGGCGGGCUUUGCCCGAGGGUACACUUGGUGCAUUAUGGUAGGGUGUGGUUGGUCCUACCUUGUGCCACUCGAAGCUGAGGCAAGGCUAAGUGGAAGUGUUGGUUGCCACUUGACGUAACUCGUCAGAAAUGGGCACAAGUGUGAAAGUGUUGGUGUUUGCUUGACUUCCAGUUAGAAAUGUGCAUUAUUGCUUGGUGGCCAGGAUGGAAUUAGACUGUGAUGAGUCACUGUCCCAUAAGGACGUGAGUUCGCUUGGUACUUCACGUGUGUCUUUAGUCAUCAUUUUUUCGAAGUGCCUGCCCAGGUCGGGAGAGCGCAUGCUUGCAAUUCUAACACUGAAGUGUUGGAUGAUGUCUGAUCCGAUUCGAGAGACCGAGGCUGCGGGUUCUUGAGGUCGAUGUAAAUCAUUGAAACCUCACCUAUUAAAAGAAAGAAAAGUAUCUAAGGCCAUUUCAAGGACAUUUGACUCAUCCGCUUGCGUUCAUAGUCUCUUACAGUGCUCUAUACGUGGCAGUGCAAACUAAAACUCAGCCCGUUCCAUUCCUUUGUAUUGUUCAGUGGCCUAAGACUAGUCUACUUACACCUUGGCCUCUGAUUUAGCCAGCACUGAUCUCAAGCGGUUCUCUAAGCCUACUGGGUAUAAGUGGUGACUUUGGCCAGAGUCAUAGUGGAUCACAAAUCACUGGUCAAGAGGUAGAAUCCUACCUUCUUCCAAAAUCUACCCCAUGACUAUUGCUGGGGUUGGAUUUUGAUUUCAAUGAAUAUUUUGGAUGCCAACGACACGUCUGAUAGUGUGCUUUGCUAGUGUUUGAAUUUAAAACCGAAGUGAUUGUUUUCAAAAUGUAUAGGGAUUUGCUUACUUGCUGAAUUCAUUUUAAUUACCUUUAGUGAAUUGUUACUUUGGAGUCCUUAAAGUUUUCAAUAAUUUUUUUGGCAGAUGAUACUCAAAUUACUUGGCACUUAAAUGUACUUUCUUUCAAACUCAUCCACUGAGCUACUCUUCAAAUUUUUAAGUCUUAUGACACAGAUACUGUUAAUGUAAAGUGAACAUUAUGACUGGAUGUCAGGAGUAUUUGAGGUUCUAUACCAGUUCAGGCUUUGCUUUUGUUGCUAUUGUUGAUGCUAUAUUGACUAAUGGUUUUACUUGUCAGCAAGAGCCUUGAAUUGUAAUGCUCUGUGUCCUCUAUCAGACUUACUGUUAUAAUAGUAAUAUUAAGGCCUACAUUUCAACUUUCUGUGUGUUCUUGCCUUUAUGGCAUCUAGAUUCUCCUCAAGACUCAGCAAAUAGUGCUGCUGCUAUUGCUGCCCCAGCCCCAGCCCCAGCCCCUGCCCCUACCCCUGCCCCAACCACACAACCCAGUCCAGUCCAGCCCUGCCCCAGCCCAAUCCUAGCCCCAGGCCCAGAUACUUUCAGACCUAUCCCAAGCCCACUUCUACUUAGAGAAAUUCGAAUCUUCAUUGAUUCAGAUGGAAUUUCACUUAAUGCAUAGAAUCGUAUUGCUAAAAUGCAGUGCCCAUCACUCAGCCUAUAAGACUGAGAUAGCCCAUUUAUACCCCAUACCCCUUCCAUACUGACUUCUAGGGUCACGGAAUUUCACUUAAUACAUAGAAUCGUAUUGCUAAAAUGCAGGCAUACGGUCCUAUUGCUAAAAUGCAGUGCCCAUCACUCAGCCUAUAAGACUGAGAUAGCCCAUUUAUACCCCCUCCAUACUGACUUCUAGAGUCAUGGAAUUUCACUUAAUGCAUAGAAUCGUAUUGCUAAAAUGCAGUGCCCAUCACUCAGCCUAUAAGACUGAGAUAGCCCAUCUAUACCCCAUACCCCCUCCAUACUGACUUUCAGAGUCAUGGAAUUUCACUUAAUGCAUGCAGUCCUAUUGCUAAAAUGCAGUGUCCAUCACUCAGCCUAUAAGACUGAGAUAGCCCAUCUAUACCCACUCCAUACUGACUUCCAGAGUCAUGGAAUUUCACUUAAUACAUGCAGUCCUAUUGCUAAAAUGCAGUGCCCAUAACUCAGCCUAUAAGACUGAGAUAGCCCAUCUAUACCCCCUCCAUACUGACUUCCAGAGUCAUGGAAUUUCACUUAAUGCAUGCAGUCCUAUUGCUAAAAUGCAGUGCCCAUCACUCAGCCUAUAAGACUGAGCCCAUCUAUACCCCAUACCCCCUCCAUACUGACUUCCAGAGUCAUGGAAUUUCACUUUGCAUACAGUCCUACUUUACUUGUCCAUGGACAAGUAAACAAAGAACUCUUGUCCUUCAUGUUAAUCAAGAUACACCAAUCGAACAAGAGUUUUAUAUCAGAGACUUGCCAUGGAGGUAUCAUCUCUCAAGUCUCCUUUCCUUUAAGGAAAGAAAACCAUUCUGUCAUUGCUGUAGUAGUCACAGUCCCAAGUUUCUAAGCAGUGUUCAGUUGUCUUUUCUCAUGUAUUACCUUGAGUACUGAAUAAUUCUGUCAGAAAUAUUUUAUCCAUUGGAUUAGACUUUAGCUAGUCCAGCCCUGUGUGCAUUUAGCAAAGGGGCAAACACAGGUCUGUUAUCAGACAGUUAAAGUGCUCAGUCCCAAUUUUCAAGGCAUUGGCCAUUAAAGGGGGUAGAAUACUAUAUACUGUUGGCAUGCUGUCAUGGGUGCUAUCGCCCCAGGUCACAUCUUUCUAACUGAUGGAGAUACAUUUAUUUGCUCAUGAUAUUGUAUACUAGUCUCACAUGCUUUCUUAUUUCAGCCAAAAACCUCUGCACUGGAACAUUUUAUGUGGAUAAUCCUGACUAGGAAUUGAGUCUUUUCUCAAGGUCCUAAUACUACCCUUGCUUUAUGUAAAGAGGGUGCUGAUUACUUAAUGCCUCUUAUACAAUUGUGCAAAAUUGCAGUUGUUCAAGUCCCCUUCUGUUAGUAACCAAGAUCCCAUAUCCUCAUACCCUAAUGGGUGACAAUCAAGGGUGCCAACCAAUGAGACCACUUCUCUUGUUCUGGUCUUUCUGCUGUGCUGGGGAAUCAAACCUUGAGUCUUGUGUACGCUAGUAAAGCACUGUCAUAGAGCUACAGCCCCACCGUGUGGUGGUUUGAGAGAACAGUCUCUUAUGUAGCCUGGGCUGGGCGGGACUUACAGGCAUUGCCACCUGUAAUGUAAACAUAUUUGUGCCUGUUGUGUGCACAGCUGCAUUUGUCCCUCUUCCUAAGCAUUGGAUAAAGAAACCAAACUAAGUCAAGUCAUUUUGUUGGUAAUCAAGAAGACCUUUGAUCUGUUCUGUUUUUAACUUCCAGGCUGGCCUGGAACUUAGUAUAGCCCAGGCUAGCCUUGAGCUCAGGAUCUAGCCUGCGUUUAACAAGUGUUGGCAUAUCUGGUUCCUACCACUAUGCCCUGCAUGCAGUCUUUCACAUUGUGAAUGUGCAUAUGUCAUUUCACUGUAGUAAUCUGCAUCUGGUGAAGACUUAUUUGUAUUGCAGCAGUAUUUAAGAUCCUUAACAUAGUAAAUGUGCACAGUGUUAACUCUAUUGUACAUAUUCUCAUGUCCACAGAUGUGCCUUUUAGAUCAGGACUCCUGUACUUAGCAAAGCAAAGAGGCUCACUAAUAUAAAGCUUCUUUCAUGAGACUAUAGAUUGAAACGAUUCCAAUACGAUCAAUGGUCCUUCAAGGUAAGACUUCUGUCUCUGAUCAUUCAUAUCCUCUUUGCUUUAUGGAAUUAUGUAUGUGCUGUGCACUUGAAACCCCUUCCUCAAACUAUUUAUGUACAUACAAUAAUAUGUACAUAUUAUUAUUUUAGUAGGAUCAAUUUUACUCUUAACUUUGAAGUACAGAAGUGGUGUUGACCUAUAAGGUCCCAUUUUGUGGCUUGCUAAUAAUAAUGACUGAUUGUAGUAGGCCUUUUCUGUUCACUACAGAAGGAAACCUGAACAGCGUAAAACUGUAAUGGCCAUAAGCAUGUACCUUGCAUAUUAGUAUGCAUUUACUGCACACAUCUCAUUCCAUUUGGAUACGAUCCUACUCUCAAACCCUUUUGCAGUACAGCAAGGGUCACUAAUCUUUUGGCUUCUUCAUCUUCCUGGACACUGGAUAAGGCUGUCCCCUCCUUUCCACUCUUUAAUUUCCAGGACUAUUACUUUAAAGACUUAAUAUUUGCAUAAAGGAUGGGGUUUUUAAUUGAUAACAUGUCCCUUGAACAUUAAUGUAUAUAACAGGGACAUGAUCCAUUCAUUUUAAUAAAAAUACUUGGCCAGUUAAUGUGUAAAAUUGCACUUAUCCACAACCUUAUUACUUUUCGGACCAUUGUAUCUCUUGCACUACUGCAAGGGAUACCGUUUAUCUCCCAAGGUCCCUGCUAGUGGACCAUUAAUAUACAGUGAAUCUUCCUUUGUCUUUGCCAGUAAACAAAGGUCAUACUCCUUCGCCUUUCAUUUGCACUAUAUCAGGAUAUGCUGAUCAACAAGGCUGCAUUCUUUUGGACUGUUAUCAUAUAUUAAAUGUAUGCAUAUGCACUGCCACCUGCUCUGUGCACUUGAAAGGAUCCCACUCACUUCCUUAGCACCUUCAGCAGGAAGUGAUAAUAAGCUCAAGACUUUCAUUUGGAAAGUUCACAUGUCUAAGCACUUCUCUAAGAACUACUGUACCCUCUUCUCCGCUUUAAAGCAGAAAGAGGGUUGUACGAAGUGCUCUUCAUUUGGACUUAAGUGCAUUAAUGCAGUUAGUUGUCCAUCAUUACCUUUGGAGUUGGAUUUUACAUCCUUGUACUCUUUUGACACCAGAGGCAUAUUAAUUAUUUCUGAGCACUUCUCUUGUCAAUAUUAAUCUGUACCCUUACACAUAUGACCUGUACGGCAGCAAAGGUUCUGAAAUGCCUACCUUUUGACUGGGGCUGCUGAGUGGUAGUAACUAUUAAUAACCUCAGCAUUUGGAUGAUUACUAUGCAAAAAUGUCAAGGACCUGUGUGCUCUCUUUGCAUAUCAUCAAGGCUACUGAGUCCCAGAAUUAAUUGCUAAGUUAUGCGUAUUUAUAACUAUGAAUAUCUGGAAUAUUUUGUCCUCAUACCCCCCCUUAACAUUAUUGCAGAGGUUGCUGAGCUCCCGAAAAUACCCGGUACUGUCAAUGAGCACAGGGACUCUGACGAAUGACCUGCUCUCUUCCUUAAACUGAUUUUGGGACUGUUAAUAGGCACAAUGGCAGUUCUGGAUGGUUUAUUUUCUCCUCCAACUUGAGCAAAUCCCCUGCUAGUUUCCCAAUGAUAUAAUAAAGUACAGCAGUAUGUACACCCAACAAUGACCCAGAUUUCGACCCUUUUUGCAUUGCUUUAAUAUAUACAUCCUAAAGAGUCACAAUCUCACACUUUAUAGUGUCCUUUUGCCCGGCCUCUAGUUUGUCCAUUGACCACUUUUCUGAAUCACUAAUUCUCACAAACCCAUCAUUAAGGAAGAGUUUGUGCCCUUUCUCAAUUCCAUCAUGCCAUCCCUUUUGCCUCUUUGUUUGAACAGUAUUGACUGGGCAAAGCCCUUCUCUUGACUUAAAGUCAACAACACCAGUUUACUCACUUCAUAUGGCUACAGUGUCUCAGUUGCCUUCUCCUUGCUCCCACUGAACAGAGACACCUCGAAUUCUUACAUUAUUCUGGGUAAUGUUAAUUACCCCAAACACCCUAUGUGUCAUUAAUAAAUUUUGGUGUAUUUAUACACUGAAUAGCAAAAGCAGGCCAAAACUAGGUGGAUGAGCCUUCAAUCUUUAACUUGCAUUUCUAAAUUAUUCCAAUUCCAACUGCUGGCACAUUCUAGGGCCAGGAACCAUUCUUGCCUACCUUUGUUAAUGCUUUAUUGUGUAAAAUAUUGCAGGCAAGUAGCUCAGGGAGUUGGAUUGCCACCUUUUACUUGGGGCUUUCCUUUACAGUAUGAACUGAAAAUUGUCUUCCUGAGAAGGAAGCUUAGCACUUUUCUCUCCAUUCUUCCUCCAGGAAGGAGCCAACUGUCUGCUUAAGAAACUUUAAGCCCGAUUUUGUAUAUUGCUACUGUACAGGACCAACUGCCAGAAAAGUUAUUGAUAAUUUUAUUCCUUAAGAAAGGCAUUUGGAUUGCAAGGUGGAUUGACCGUGAGAUCAUUAGCUUUUGUGAAGUAAAAUAGCCAUUUGUGUCAUGUUUCUGAAGACGAAGCAGCGCCUCAGUGUACUGAGGGUGAUGAGUGUGGAAAGAUCAGCGCAGCUAUUGCAGAAUGUUUAAGACAAGUAUCUUUGCUUGGUCUUUACUACAAGUUUAACAAAACGAAAAAGUCUAUCUUUGUGUGGCCUUUAGUAUGAUUAACUUUUUGGAAGAUGACCUAAGCCUUCUAAUCAUUAUAUUUUGUCUGACAUUGGUCACCAGUCCUUGCUUAUUUUUAAAAGGUGACUAUGGAUGGAUUAAAUUCGAGAACAUGUCAAGUCGCCUUUGAAAAUUAUAUAGGCCAUCACAUUUAAUUAAUUCAUUCUAUCCACCAUUAAAUUCUGGCAAUAAUUUGAAGUAGCUUGAAAAUUCCUAAAGUGGGAAUUUAUUUUAGAGAUGAUAGAACCUGUUUCCCCACUUUACAUUUUAAAAUAUGUAUGCCAGGAUCUAAUCAUUCCUUUAAACGUACACUUCAAAGAGAGAUUUGCCUAGUAAGAAAAGAGCUUUCUCUAGUGUGAAGGGUGCUUUGUAGCCGCCGAGUACUUAGGUCUUUUUUGGGAGCUAUUGUGUAUGAGUGUAUGUAUGUGUGUGUGUACAUGCAUGUUGCUGCGCGCAGUCAUUCAUUCACAUGGUGCUCAGACAACAAUGGGAGCUGGUUCGUCUAUCUUGUGGGUCCUGGAGAUCAAAGUGAGAUCAUCAGGCUUGGCAGCAAGUGCCUUCACCCUCCGCGUGCCAUCUUGCCAUCCCGCUGCUGAGUGUUUGAUAUGACAUUGCUGAUGAAAAUAAUCAUCACAACAGCAGUUCUCCCGGCAUUACUGAGAAAUGAUACUAUUUUUCUGAGGAGGAUGUUCAAGUAACUCAUCCAGUGCAGGAUCCUGCUUGAACUACUGCUCCUCCGUUACAUCAGACUCUGGCUGUUUAGACUACAGGAUGAAUUUGGAGUCUGUUUUGUGCUCCUGCCUCAAGAAGAAGGAUUGCCUGGAUUUAGAGGAGUGAAGAGUGCUGGAGAGAGCCCAAAGGGACAAACAAUCCCUAUGUGAGAUUCAAGGACUGCCAGCAGCCUAUACAGCUACAUUACAUCUCAGCAGAACUUCUCUUCAAGUCCUCGCUACUCUGAACAAAAAGCUUACAGGCCACAUGGAGAAAAAAAGAUCUCCCCCCAGAAUUGUGGGCUUGUUGCUUUGCAGUGCUGGCGACCUAUUCCCUUUGACGAUCCCUAGGUGGAGAUGGGGCAUGAGGAUCCUCCAGGGGAAUAGCUCACCACCACUGGGCAACAGGCCUAGCCCAGAUUUCAGUGAGACGCUUUCCUGAACCCAGCAAGGAAGACAAAGGCUCAAAGAAUGCCACCCUACAUCAAAGUAGGAGAAAAGCUGCUGCAAUAGUGGCACUGACCUUCCGAGGAAGCCAUUCUGCUCUAUUUGGUUCUCUCUCCAGAAGUUAGGAGAACUUUGCCAGCUGUUUACAUACUUCAAGAUGCACUGCUACCCUACUCAUGCCAUAUAAUACACAAUGCCAUCUACCAAAUAUUACCCUUCCCCAAAGCAGCACAGAAAACUGGGUCUUCAGCAUGAUCAAGCAAUGUGAACACACAAAAGGAAGGCAGCUUUAUAAAUGACCCGAGGAUCAACAUGCCUGACUGCAGCAUCUUAAAAGCAAUAGAAUGAGUGUGUAUUGUGUUGUGUGUCUAUUUCUUGUUUUAUGUAUCUAUUUUUUCCUUGGUCUGUGUGUCUAAUUCUUUGUUACACCUAUUUCUGUCUAAUUCUUUGUUAUAUCUAUUUCUUCCUUGCUUCGUGUGUCUGUCUUCCUUGCUUUGUGUCUAUUUCUUCCUUGCAGUUGUGUCUAAUUCUUUGUUACAUCUAUUUCUUCCUUGCUUUUGUGUGUCUUUCUUUCUUGCUUUUGUGUGUCUAUUUCUUCCUUGCAGUUGUGUCUAAUUCUUUGUUACAUCUAUUUCUUCCUUGCUUUUGUGUCUAUUUCUUCCUUGCAUUGUGUCUAAUUCGUUGUUGCAUCUAUUUCUUCCUUGCUUUGUGUCUAUGUCUUCCUUGUUUUGUGUAUCUACUUCUUCCUUGUGUGUCUAAUUCUUUGUUACAUCUAUUUCUUCCUUCCUUUGCAUGUCUCCUUCUUUCCUUUGUGUGUCUUUUCUGUCUGCAGUGUGUCUUACCUAUUCCCAUGUUUCUCCUGCAUGUUCUUUCUUGCAGAGCUUUGAGCUUUGUUUCACUUUCUCUGGUGCCUGUGUGGUCUGCUUUGUCUUCACUAGCUAUGGCUCUCUGUUUUAUCUAUCUGAUUGCUAUUUCUCUUAGCUUUUCUUUUACUCCUGCCUUUCGUGACUCCCCUUUGGGUCACAUGUUGCAUGCAUCCCUCUCUUUUUCUUGUGCUCACCCCACUUGUUCUUUGUUCAAGUUCUCUUUGUCAGUCCAUUUCAGUUUUCUUUCUGCUGCUUCUAUCCUUAGUGAAUUCUUGUAUUUGUGUCUCUUUGCUAUUGGUGGAUUUCUUAUCUCAGCAUCAUUCUGUUGCUUUGUGUUUGCUUGUGUUUCUAUCUUCUACUUUCCUCCCUUCUGUUCACUUUGAGCAUUUCAUCUCUUUACAAGUCUGUGUCUCUCUUGUAUUCUAAAGUAAUCCUUUCUUGAAUGUUUCUUUGUAUGUACAUGUGCGUUUGUGCAUGUGUGUUAUGUGUGUCAUGUGUGACAGGGGCUUCAUAGCCCCUUCCCAAUAGGUCCAGAAUGUCACCUGUGGAGCCGUUCCUCACACCAGACUGCCCUGAGAAAUAAUCUAAGACAAAAUACAUCAUUCCGUCCGGUCAGGAUUCAAGUGGCUCUGAAGUGAACGCCCAAGUAGAAGAGAGAAGUUUUGCGACUUGAGAUUUAAAAGGACCAAAAUACACAGAUGGCCCGUCUUGAGCUGGCUGGACAGAAUGCUGACAACCCAAAGAAGAGGAACUGUUUCUACAGGACACCUGUGACUUCCAAGAACGGAGAACUACGUAUGUCAUAAGACACAAAACCUGAGCUAAGUCCAAGCAUAAGACCUAAGGACCCAGUUCUAUAUGGACAGAAUGUUUGAGAGAUAAAGGCCUACGGCCCAGAACUCUGGAAGGAUAUUUCUAUCCUUCUAUCCCCAAGACCAAGAAGGGAAAUUCGAAGAUGAGACCUGCCCCCCAACCCCAGCAUCCCUUUCCAUUUCUUAUAUUUCUAUUUAAGCUGUCUUCACUUGAGAUGUAAUUUUUCAUUGUUGCCAUUGCCCAUAAAGGAAUACGUUUUUAGCUGGAUAGUAUUGUGCAAGGGUCUGUUUUAAACUGGGUCUUAGCCAUUUGUUAAAUUGUUGAUGUUUUACAACUUCCAUUUCUCUUCACAUCUGCUCCACUUGAGACGGAACUAAAUCCAGCCAGUGUAUAUAGCCUGACUAUUGAAACUUCCCUAGGAAUAAGCAUGCAUACAGAUAUGCAUACUGCCAUCCUCCCUACCUCAGAAGCCCUAGGCUGACAAGAAAAGGAAAGCAUCAGGUUGUUAGGGGGAAAACAAUGUGAGGCUAUCUAGAGAAAAUAUAAAGAGUUGUUCCAGACCAAUGAGAAGAAUUAGACAAGCAAUAUGCAGAUGUGCCAACCCUCUGAGAAGCACCAGCCAGUGUCACCUUCCUUCUUUGGGCUUAGGUGAGCAGGGUAUGGUUUUCUAAUAAUGGUUUGGGGACAAAAUGAGGUCUGAACUCCCUGCUCAUAGUAGUGGCCGAGUAAUUUGGUGCAUUUCACCAAAGGAACUCCUGGGUCUAAUACCUACCUUUAAAAUUAAUGAUGAGAGACUCUAAGGACUACUUAACGGGCUUAAUCUUUUUCGUGCCUUCCUCUUCCUCUGUAAGAGGGAAGUUAAAUGACACAGGAUGAAAAAGUAACAUGUUCAUAGCACAUUGGCAAUUAUACAUGGUUAUUAUCUGAAAGUGUAGAGCUUUUCCUAUAAGGCAUCAGACUGUAAGUACCUGAAGCUUUGUGGGUUCAUGGUCUUAGUUGCAUAUUCCUUAGUUGCAAAUCCUUUUCAAAAGGUAAGAAAAAGGCACACUGGUCUAUUGCCUGUACUUGAUCAAGCCCUGAUAUAAAUGCCAGGGAAUGUCUGAGUAACAUUAAUUUCCUUCCCUGCAUAUUUUUUUGUGCUGAAUACUAAGGCUGUAAUGCUUCACUGUGGUCACCCCCAGGUAACAAGAUAUUACCAGGUAACCAAGAAACGUAUGAAUACGUAAACCAUGAAGCCUACUGUAACUUCCAAGUCAGUGCUGACGAAUGAGUACGUAUUACAUAGUAGCUGAAGUCUACGCCUCUAUGUGCUAUAGGCACAAAGAUUGCUCUAGGAAUAACAUGCUUUGUAAAAACAUAUGAACAUAACGGGGCUUGAAUGAAUAACAGUCCAUAUACUUAAGGCCAGUGUGUUUCUUCUGCUUUGGUGAGGCUCAGUAAGUUAUAUUAUACCAGGUAGCAGAAGAGAAAACACAUGGAAACUGAUUUUAAACUUCAAACUAGGUCACUAAUGCAGGUGAUUGAUUACCCUAUUCUGAUCACCUUCUAAUUUCUGAAUACCCAUGUUCAGCACUGGGAAUAACAAAGGGGGACAUUACCACAGAACUAGAAUUUACAAAAGAAUGCAUUAAAUAAAGCAUUAUACAGCUAUCAAUUGUUCCAUGUGUGCAAAUGAAUGACUACUAACUACCUCUGAUGUAUCCGAUAUUGUUUUGGGUACAUGAAAUAUUCAUGAGUAACUGCCAUGAAAUAAGAAUGUUUGCAUUCCAUACUAUUCAUAAGGAAUGAGCCAAUGCUUAAUUUAAUUGGUCAAAACUUGAGUGAUAAGGGCAUGUUAAUACAAGAACAUUUGCCCAGGUCACAUUAUGGUUGUGGGUACUUUCUUAACUAUAAAGCAGUUCAGUAGUGUAAGACAAGACAAAUUUUUUAUAGAAAUAAAGCUGCCUAUAAAAUAGGUAUGGUCUCUACAAAAUUUUCAUUGUACUUUUUGGCCCACAAUGGGAAGAGUACAGUUAACAAGCUGGGUAUGGUAGCAUGUGCUCUGAGCUCAGGUAGCUGAAGCAACAGGACCACUUGAGCCCAGAAAUUGGAGGCUAGCCUGGGAAGACCAUAAGGUCAAUCUCAAACCUGGAGGCUAAAUAUUGUCUGCCAUGUGUAUAUUCUCUUUCAUGGGUACUAGAGAGAUACACAGACGUACAUUUCAGUGUGUCCACACUUGAGAAUAAUAUGUACGUUGGCAUUUUAUGAACUCGGAGGUACCAUAUAAAUGUAACAAUUCAUUUUCUUACUUGGUAUCAAUUUCCAGGCUUUUAAAAUUCUGCCACAUUUAUUAUACUGUGAAAAUAAAGUAAAUAAGUAACUGGAUCACUGAAUAUAUGAAGCAUUCAGUACUUGAUGAGUACAUACUGAAUGGCAGUCAUUUAUUACAAAACAGUGCCCUUGCUAGGCACUGGGAUGCAAAGAGCAUUCUCAUUGUCCUGUGUAUCUAAAGAAAUUAUGCAUGACAUUAAUUUAUAAUUUGUAAACUGCCAUAUAUGUGUAUAUAUGCAAUAUUUGCCUGGUGUGCAAUGACUUUGCUUUUAUCCCAGGCAUGUACAACAGAUCUGUGUGGAGCUGUGUGAAGUCUACAGUUCUAUAAAGCCGGGACCUAACUGUUGGCUUUAUCAGUGAACAGUGAUUACUUUCUAAGUUUCAUGAUGGCUGAAACUUAAUCAUAAUGCUUAUCACCUAACACCACCUAAUAAUAAUUUUACCGUGCUAUGUGUUGAGCAAACACAUAGAUUGCUUUCUAGCAUUAUGUAGUACUUAUAGGAGUGAAAUCUAGACCAAAACUUCAAUUCAAUGAGGAAAUGAAAACAGAAAAAAUGGAUUUGUGUAAGGCAGUGUGCUAAAUGUUACACUGAGUGGACUAUGCUGCCUAGGACACUUCCCAGCUGGCUUGACUGAGGAGGUGGAAAAGGUUUUAUUAACGACAGGAACUUUUUCCAUCCAGUUUCUUAAAUGUUGAAUUACAAACACCUUGCCAGUAAAGGAGUUUUAUAGGGCCAGAGUCAGGUAAUCCCAGAGCAUGGGUAUCAGGGAACAAAACGGGAAGAGGCCAGAGCAUCUGAUGGCAUGUACUCAGUGUGGUCCAGAACCUCUCAAACUAGAUGUACUGGCUGGAGGGACCAAGCAUGCAGAACACAACACCUAAUGAAACAUUGUAUAUAAAAUAUGCUAACCUAGGUCCUAAAACUAAAAUGUGAGGUGGACCUAGUGUAGAUCACUGAUCAUAGAGGAGACAUGGUCUCAUAUAGCCCAGGCUGGUUCUAAUUGGUGACUGUCACAGCUUCUCAAGUGCUGAGAUUACAGAUGUGCUUACUCAUGCCCAGCCUGUAGAAUAUAUCUGAUUACUGAGUGAAUAAUAUUUUUUAAAGAAUUAUACAUUUUAUGUAUAUGAGUACACUGUUGCUGUCUUCAGACACACCAGAAGAGGGCACCACAUCACAUUACAGAUGGUUGUGAGCCACCAUGUGGUUGUUGGGAUUUGAACUCAGGACCUUCGGAAGACCAGUCAGACUCUUAACCACUGAGUCAUCUCUCCAGCCUUCUGAGUAAAUAUUUUAACUAUAAUGGCUGUUUGCGAAACCCAACCAAGGCCAAGAUUCCUUCAACAUAAACUGGAGACUUCCUAGCUAAGGAAGCUCCAAAAGUCAUUUUCUCAUUGGCCUAGCUUGAAGCCAGGACAGACUUAAAGUCUGUCCUUUAAUUCAUAAUGAAUUAAUCCAUUCUCCUUUUCUUACUGUUGAAGUGUUUCAAAGGAGAAUCAAGAUGAAUCGAUAAUUCUAAACGUAUUUGUUCAUUGCCUGGCUCAGCGUCAUGUGAGUAAGAAGAAUAUACUAUCACACUCAUACUUUUAACUUAAGUGUGAUGAAAGUGCAGUUCUAAGUACUGAAAAGAACAAAGACAUUUAAAGGAUGCAACCCAAAGUGUACUUUACCUCAGUAGUUUCUGAGGGGACUGCAGUCACACCUUGAGACUACAGCUCUCACUUUAGCUGGGAAAAACAUCAAGGUGUGGAGGAGGCAAGUUAAAUAAAAAGUUGCUCCCCUCCUCAUGGGCAUGCUUGGUAGAGUGGAAAUAAUAAAAGAGGUUCUCUAUUUCCUCGGUUCCACACAUUGCAGAAGAUGCUACUGGAUGCUAAGUGCAACACAUUUGUUCCAAAAGGGCACUCAGUGUGACUUACAGAUGCCCCGGAAAGCAGAGUGAUGCUCUUUAUUAAACAGAAAUAUUAGCUCAAACGUUUUCUAGACUGAAGAACACUUUCCUCAUUUCCCACAGUUUGCCUCAGAGGUUGAAUACAGGAGGAAGGUUAUUAUUCAUUCAUUUACUUUAUUGGUUCGUCUGUUCUACAAGGAUUUGCAUGUCUCUUAGGCCUUCACUUGGCUCCUGAGACAUGGAAAAAGGAAACAUAGACAUAGGGAAGUGCUGGGGGUGGGGGGGGGGGGGGGGGGGGGGGUCUCUUUUCUGGGUAGUGGCACGACUUAGUCCUUAGUCCCCAAGUAAUAUGCAAUGUGAGUCCUCAUCAUCCUCAUGUCUUCUCCGGCCACUGCAAUGAGUGGGAAGCUGGGCUUUGUAACAAGCCUGACCCUAAAGUUACAGAAGCCUUCCACGCUAAGAAACUCAAUUUUCUAGGCCAUUUUAGCUAUGACUGUGACCACUACUGGUCAGGAGGGAUGACAGCCAUCUAAGUUCCACAAUCUUAGGCUACUUUGCAUUAUCCUGGGGCAAACAAGCCAUUUUUGAGCUGCAGCAGGCUUUGAAAUACAUUGACCAAUUUUGCCUGUGUUCGUUAAACCUUUUACCUUUUUACAUGCUAAUGCUCACAGUAAUUUAGAAAUGUUCUCCUUACUAUAAUAUACUCAAGGUGGCUUGCUAUGGUAAAAUAAUGCCAGUGGAUGAAAAUAACAUUAAUGUUUAACAUUCUUGCAUAAAAUUUAAGAAUAAUAAAAUUGACAACAAUCAGAAAACUGGAGGAAUGAAAGACCAAAUUGAAAGAACUUGAAAAAGAUUAAAAAUGCCUGUGCUUUGACCCUUUCCAUUUUUCUUUCACUCACAGAGGGUGGGACAGGAGGCCGAGUGAAGGAAAGGGUCCAGCCUGUCUAUCUGGAAUCUAAGUUGGGACUUUAAUGCAGUUCCACAAUAUUGGUAUUAAUUCGCUAAAUGUUUCUGAAAAUGUAUUUUCAUCUAAAUGGCUAUCAGCUAAGCCUUGAGUCAAAUGGGAAUGAAACAGAUUAAGUCAAUGUGAUCUCUUUAUCCAAGUUGCCUUAGAGCUGAAGUCACAAUUUGCUGUAAGGAAGCUUAUUCAUUGUAGCUUAUGCAUACUUUCAAAGUAUCUAGACUUUACUUAGUAACCCAAUCAGGACAUUCAGGCAAAAGAAAAGGAACAGAGAAGAUGGAGCCAGGUUGAAGAGGUCUGGGAGUUCAAACAAAUUUUUUUCAUUAAAACUCAAUUGGGCAUCAAAAGUGUUACUAAUAUUAGCUUUUAAUUAGUGGAAAUUGGCUGGAUUCAGUUAUAUCCCUUUAUGGGUAGGAAUGGGCUUACAUUUCUGGAAUUUGCAAAGGAAAAAAUAACUGAAAGCCUUCCUUUCACAGUUACUGCCAUCAAUAUUGCUACCAAUUAAGCACAUCCUACCAUCAUCUGCUUUGAUCACAUAAAUGAACUGUGUACCAAUCUGUUGUUGAAAGACUGGAGUCAUCUUCCCACCAACUGUGAAAAAAACACAUGGAAAACACCUGGACUUUGUGAAUGGAUGCGGAAUGCAGAACUUCUGUUGACUCUUGGGUGUUUUGAAGACUUG
ensembl:lincRNA